UACGGAGGGGGCUAGCGUUGUUCGGAAUUACUGGGCGUAAAGCGCACGUAGGCGGCUUUGUAAGUUAGAGGUGAAAGCCCGGGGCUCAACUCCGGAAUUGCCUUUAAGACUGCAUCGCUAGAAUUGUGGAGAGGUAAGUGGAAUUCCGAGUGUAGAGGUGAAAAUUCGUAGAUAUUCGGAAGAAACACCAGUGGCGAAGGACGACUUACUGGCACAUAUUGACGCUGAGGUGCGAAAGCGUGGGGAGCAAACAGG
rnacentral:rRNA from 1 species